rnacentral:tRNA from 1 species
GGGGGAUUAGCUCAGCUGGUUAGAGCACCUGCUCGACACGCAGGGGGUCGGCAGUUCGAAUCUGCCAUCUCCCACCA